CCUACGGGCGGCAGCAGUGAGGAAUAUUGGUCAAUGGCCGGAAGCCUGAACCAGCCAAGUAGCGUGCAGGAUGACGGCGCAGAGCGUCGUAGACCUCUUUUGCCCGGGGAUAAAGGGCCUUACGCGUACGGCUCUGAGUGUACCCGGUGAAAAAGCAUCGGCUAACUCCGUGCCAGCAGCCGCGGUAAUACGGAAGGUCCGAGCGUUAUCCGGAUUUAUUGGGGUUAAAGGGUGCGGAGGCGGCAGUUUAAGCCGGCGGUGAAAUGUCCGGGCUCAACCCCGGCCGUGCCGCCCGAACUGGCGGCCUUGAGUCCGCGGAAGGCAUGCGGAAUUCGUGGUGUAGCGGUGAAACGCUUAGAUAUGACGAAGAACCCCGAUUGCGAAGGCAGCGUGCUGCAGCGCAACUGACGCGGAUGCACGAAAGCGCGGGUAUCGAACAGGAUUAGAUACCCGGGUAGUC
rnacentral:rRNA from 1 species